rnacentral:rRNA from 1 species
GAGUUUGAUCCUGGCUCAGAUUGAACGCUGGCGGAAUGCUUUACACAUGCAAGUCGAGCGGCAGCGCGGGGCAACCUGGCGGCGAGCGGCGAACGGGUGAGUAAUGCAUCGGAACAUGUCCAUGUCGUGGGGGAUAGCCCGGCGAAAGCCGGAUUAAUACCGCAUGUGCCCUUUGGGGGAAAGCCGGGGACCGCAAGGCCUGGCGCGAUUGGGUUGGCCGAUGUCCGAUUAGCUAGUUGGUGGGGUAAAGGCCCACCAAGGCGAUGAUCGGUAGCUGGUCUGAGAGGAUGAUCAGCCACACUGGGACUGAGACACGGCCCAGACUCCUACGGGAGGCAGCAGUGGGGAAUUUUGGACAAUGGGGGAAACCCUGAUCCAGCCAUUCCGCGUGAGUGAAGAAGGCCUUCGGGUUGUAAAGCUCUUUUGUCCGGAACGAAACGGUUACGGCUAAUACCUGUGACUACUGACGGUACCGGAAGAAUAAGCACCGGCUAACUACGUGCCAGCAGCCGCGGUAAUACGUAGGGUGCGAGCGUUAAUCGGAAUUACUGGGCGUAAAGCGUGCGCAGGCGGUUUUGUAAGCCAGAUGUGAAAUCCCCGGGCUUAACCUGGGAAUGGCAUUUGGGACUGCAAGGCUGGAGUGCGGCAGAGGAGACUGGAAUUCCUGGUGUAGCAGUGAAAUGCGUAGAUAUCAGGAGGAACACCGAUGGCGAAGGCAGGUCUCUGGGCUGACACUGACGCUCAUGCACGAAAGCGUGGGGAGCAAACAGGAUUAGAUACCCUGGUAGUCCACGCCCUAAACGAUGUCGACUGGUUGUUGGGGGUUUGACACUCUCAGUAACGAAGCUAACGCGUGAAGUCGACCGCCUGGGGAGUACGGCCGCAAGGUUAAAACUCAAAGGAAUUGACGGGGACCCGCACAAGCGGUGGAUUAUGUGGAUUAAUUCGAUGCAACGCGAAAACCUUACCUACCCUUGACAUGUCCGAGAGCCCGAUGAGAGUUG